CAGCCGCCACGGGAAUACGUAGGGUGCAAGCGUUAAUCGGAAUUACUGGGCGUAAAGCGCACGUAGGCGGCUUUGUAAGUUAGAGGUGAAAGCCCGGAGCUCAACUCCGGAAUUGCCUUUAAGACUGCAGAGCUAGCAGGUGAGAGAGGUGAGUGGAAUUCCGAGUGUAGAGGUGAAAUUCGUAGAUAUUCGGAAGAACACCAGUGGUGAAGGCGGCUUACUGGCUCAUUCUAGACGCUGAGGUGCGAAAGCGUGGGGAGCAAACAGGAUUAGAUACCCGCGUAGUCCCUGUCUCUUAUAC
rnacentral:rRNA from 1 species